rnacentral:rRNA from 1 species
CCUACGGGUGGCAGCAGUGGGGAAUAUUGCACAAGGGGGGAAACCCUGAUGCAGCGACGCCGCGUGAGUGAAGAAGUAUUUCGGUAUGUAAAGCUCUAUCAGCAGGGAAGAAAAUGACGGUACCUGAGUAAGAAGCCCCGGCUAACUACGUGCCAGCAGCCGCGGUAAGACGUAGGGGGCAAGCGUUAUCCGGAUUUACUGGGGGUAAAGGGAGCGUAGACGGGAGCACAAGUCUGGAGUGACAUGCCGGGGCUUCACCCCGGAACUGCUUUUGAAACUGUGCAGCUAGAGUGCAGGAGCGGUAAGUGGACUUCCUAGUGUAGCGGUGCAAUGCGUAGAUAUUCG